CUCUGAAGUUGGCUGCAGGUAAUUUGAUGAAGCCCGGAACUCCAAAAAGGAAUGUGUAGCUGAUUUGGACAUCAUCGAUUCUUUUUGGCUUAUACCUCUACCUUACAAACUCAGUCCCUGAUGCCAUCUGAUAACCCCCUCUGAAACAUUUUGACAGAAUUGGUAAUCUUCUUCUAAAGAAUAGCCUCGUGGUGAUCAUCAGGUUGAGUUCUUGCUGCCAUGCAUGUCUUGAGAUUAUUUUGUCAAGGCCAAUUGACUGAGCUUGGUCAUACUUGUCUGCGUCACCACCACUUUAACAAGAGUAGAAAAGUCAAGGAAUUUCACUGUUGGUCUCCUUUCUUGCCAUUGAUAUUUGUCUCUUUGCCCCAAAGAUUUUAUCAACCAUGAUUAAUUAUUUCAGGUGUGCAGACAUCAAUUCAAGCCACAUAUUAAGCAAUAAGGUAGUCUGGUAGUGUUGUACCAUGCCUUGAAUAUUGAUUUUGCAUGACUUCCUUUUGAUUGAGAAGGAGCCACGUAGCUAGGAUAAUUGAGAAUUACACUUUCAGUUAUGUUUUGUAGCUUAUGUUCUUGUGUGCAGGUCUUGAAUAUAAUUAAGCCAACAAUAUGAAAUUUUGCCUUGCAAACACUAUCCAAACCGUACGCGUUGCUCCACAACUGCGGAAGCUUUGACAUAUUUUUUUGGGAUUGAUAGAACUUGUUCCAUCCUUCGUGCCAACUGGACUACUUGAUUCGCGGUAGGUGCUAGGGGACUCACAUCCUUGCUCCAUUUUGUUGCUGCCAUGUAAUGAUCGAAGCAAUUAUUCUCAAGGAGAGCACCACCCUUUGUUGACGCAGCAGUCUUUCACCAGGAAAGUACCAUCAUGGUCACUUUGCUUUCGCCACCUAUACGCAAGACGCACCGCCAUAUAGGCAUCGAGAAGCAAAGUGAGGCAAGAAUGGCGUUGUGGUUUUGAUUUGUGCCAGAGAGACUAUUGUGGGCAGCAGCUCGACUUCUCCGUGAUUGCUGAUGUGGUAAUCGCCUUGGUCACCAGCAGGAGAUUAUGAGGAUGAGAGCAACACAGACACCCCAGAGAGAUUUUUGGCCAUGCUUCAUGGAUCUUAACACUUGACAAUGUCUACACCAUGAAAGGAAAAGUUCAGUAAUUUCAGGUGAUAAUCAUAAUUAUAUACCUGUGACUUAUGGAGCUUCUUCUACUGAAACGUGGUUCUCCGUAUGUGGCUUCUCUUGGAUAGCUUUAAGAAUGGAAUGUUGUAGGACU